rnacentral:rRNA from 1 species
ACGUACCGUACGAACGUUAUUCGGAAUCACUGGGCUUAAAGAGUUCGUAGGCGGCUUAAAAGGUGAGGUGUGAAAGCCCACGGCUCAACCGUGGAACUGCGCUUCAAACCAUUAAGCUAGAGGGAGAUAGAGGAAAGCGGAACUGAUGGUGGAGCGGUGAAAUGCGUUGAUAUCAUCAGGAACACCGGUGGCGAAAGCGGCUUUCUGGGUCUCUUCUGACGCUGAGGGACGAAAGCUAGGGGAGCGAACGGG